ACGGUUUUGUCGUGUUUCUACUGCAAAAGCUCCUUCCACACGUACGCUCAGCUGGCUGAUCACACAAUAACUCACGGCGGCUUGGCACUUAUGAUUUCUCAAAGUUUCGACAAUAAACACCAUUUUUCGGUGAGUUUUUAGGCAAAAAAUGUGAAAAUUCGAGGUUUUUAGGUUGAAAAUCGGCGAUUUUUGCGAUUUUUUCCCCAAAAAAUUCAGAUUUUUCUCAGUUUUCCACCUAAAAAACCCCAAAAUUCUCAAAUUUUCAGGCUUGGCUUCAACAAAUGGAACGCGUCUACAGUGUCACAUUCGAACGGUCGGAAUUUGGAAGUGAUCCUGAGCUGCAGGAUCUUCACAACUAUGUCCUACACUGCGAUUGCGUGGGUGGACGUGGGGAGCAGCUCGCCACGGAUUCGAGGUAGAAAUUUGGCUGAAAACGGCUCAAAAUUCGAGGAAAUCGGUGGAAAUUAACCGAAAUAAGCUGACAAUUUGAGAAAAAUGGCUCAAAAAUGAGAAAAUUGACUUUCAGCGCAAAAUUUAGCUCUAAAUUGCUUUUAUUUGGCCUCCCCAGCUCGAUGUACAAAAAUUCCGGGUUACUGUAGCUUCGAAAGUACGCAAACACCGACUACAGUACCCCAAUACAUCAGAUCUUACGCAAAAUUGCAGAAAAAGCUUUGAAAAUUGGGUUUUUUUGGAGAAAAUCACCUAAAAUCCUCGAAAAUUCGAAUUUUCAGAGCCUACAUCGACCAAAAGCACACAAAUUUCAAAUUUUCCGGGUUACUGUAUAGCCAGAAGUACGCAAACACCGAAUCUCACGCAAAAUCGCACAGAAGCUUAAAAAGGCGAUGUAAAACAUAUUUUCUGAAAUUCCAAAAAGCAAAAUUUAUUCAGAAAUAAUUCGAAAAUCGGUUUCCCCACGAAAUUUGGCUCUAGAAUAAGUUUAAUUCGUUUUUGUAGCUCAACUUUGAAACAUUCCGGGUUACUGUAGCUUCGAAAGUACGCAAACACCGACUACAGUACCCCAAAACAUCAGAUCGUACGCAAAAUUGUACAAAAAGCAUUGGAAAUGGGGUUUCUGGGGUAAAAAGUGCCAAAAUUUCAGAAAAAAUGGCCUAAAAUCACCUUAAAUCCUAGAAAAAUCGAUUUUUCAGAGCCUACAUCUACCAAAAGCACAAAAAUUUUAAAUUUUCCGGGUUACUGUAGCGCCAGAAGUACGCAAACACCGAAUCUCACACAAAAUGUUCAGAAAUAAUUCGAAAAUCGGUUUCCCCACGAAAUUUGGCUCUAGGAAGAGUUUAAUUCGUUUUUGUAACUCAAAUCUGAAAGUUUCCUGGUUACGGUAGCGCCAAAAGUACGCAAACACCGUCUACAGUACCCCAAAACAUCAGAUCUUACGCAAAACUGCACAAAAACGUUAAAAAAUGGGGUUUCUGGGGUAAAAAGUGCCAAAAUUUCAGAAAAAAUGGCUUCAAAUCACCAAAAAUCCUCGAAAAUUCGAAUUUUCAGAGCCUACAUCUACCAAAAGCACAAUUUUCUGAAACGCCGACACCCACAGCUGCUCACUCGGAAUAAAAAUGACUGUUGUGUGCAUUUGGAGGUCCGUGAGGACUCGGAAUACGGCCCGAUUCACGUGAAAGGCACUCUGGAGCACACGGGCCAUCGUUUCGGAACUCCGUUGCUCAGAAUGUGUAGGUUUUUGGCUUUUUUCGGUAAAAAAUUUGGCAUUUUUGAGGUUUUUAGCCCAGACAUGUAGAAAUUUCAAUGUUUUUGAGGUUUUUUAGCUUAAAAAUCGGCAAAAAUCGCACAUUUUCGAGGUUUUUUUGCUAAAAAAUCGGCAAAAAUCGCCUAUUUUUAAAGGUUUUUUAGCCUAAAAAUCGGCAAAAUUCGCCUAUUUCCAAGGUUUUUUUGCUAAAAAAUCGACAAAAAUCGCCUAUUUUUGAGGUUUUUAAUCCUAAAAAACUCGCAAAAUGCCAUUUUCAGCCGUUUUUAAGCUAAAAAAGCCCAAAUUCAAGCUUCCGAGCCUAAAAAUCACUAAUUUCAGCUCCAAUGGAUCGUCAAAUAUAUUCGGAAGUGCUCAGCUGGAAAGAGCAACGAGAUUUUCAGUUUAUGGCUCUAGACGUUGUCGAGAAGCUUAAUGG
rnacentral:sRNA from 1 species